UAAAGAUUCAUCGCUGAUAGAUAGGCAUGCGUUCCAUUAGGCAGUUGGCGGGGUAACGGCCCACCAAACCGACGAUGGAUAGGGGUUCUGAGAGGAAGGUCCCCCACAUUGGUACUGAGACACGGACCAAACUCCUACGGGAGGCAGCAGCGAGGAAUAUUGGUCAAUGGGCGUAAGCCUGAACCAGCCAAGUCGCGUGAGGGAUGAAGGUUCUAUGGAUCGUAAACCUCUUUUAUAAGGGAAUAAAGUGCGGGACGUGUCCCGUUUUGUAUGUACCUUAUGAAUAAGGAUCGGCUAACUCCGUGCCAGCAGCCGCGGUAAUACAGAGGAUCCGAGCGUUAUCCGGAUUUAUUGGGUUUAAAGGGUGCGUAGGCGGCCUUUUAAGUCAGCGGUGAAAGUCUGUGGCUCAACCAUAGAAUUGCCGUUGAAACUGGGAGGCUUGAGUAUGUUUGAGGCAGGCGGAAUGCGUGGUGUAGCGGUGAAAUGCUUAGAUAUCACGCAGAACCCCGAUUGCGAAGGCAGCCUGCCAAGCCAUGACUGACGCUGAUGCACGAAAGCGUGGGGAUCAAACAGGAUUAGAUACCCUGGUAGUCCACGCAGUAAACGAUGGUCACUAGCUGUUUGCGAUACACAGUAA
rnacentral:rRNA from 1 species